rnacentral:rRNA from 1 species
GAUGAACGCUGGCGGCGUGCCUAAUACAUGCAAGUCGAGCGAAUGGAUUAAGAGCUUGCUCUUAUGAAGUUAGCGGCGGACGGGUGAGUAACACGUGGGUAACCUGCCCAUAAGACUGGGAUAACUCCGGGAAACCGGGGCUAAUACCGGAUAACAUUUUGAACCGCAUGGUUCGAAAUUGAAAGGCGGCUUCGGCUGUCACUUAUGGAUGGACCCGCGUCGCAUUAGCUAGUUGGUGAGGUAACGGCUCACCAAGGCAACGAUGCGUAGCCGACCUGAGAGGGUGAUCGGCCACACUGGGACUGAGACACGGCCCAGACUCCUACGGGAGGCAGCAGUAGGGAAUCUUCCGCAAUGGACGAAAGUCUGACGGAGCAACGCCGCGUGAGUGAUGAAGGCCUUCGGGUCGUAAAACCCUGUUGUUAGGGAAGAACAAGUGCUAGUUGAAUAAGCUGGCACCCUGACGGUACCUAACCAGAAAGCCACGGCUAACUACGUGCCAGCCGCCGCGGUAA